GGGGACAAAAACAGCCCCAAAAUGGGACAAUGACACCCCCAAAAUGGGGGCAAUGACACCCCUAAAAUGGGGACAGUGACACCCCUAAAAUGGGGACAGUGACACCCCCAGAAUGGGACAAUGACACCCCCGAAAUGGGGACAAAAACACCCCCGAAAUGGGACAGUGACACCCCUGAAAUGGGGACAGGGACAAGGGGCUCCGGUGGCUCCGGGGUGUGGCCCUGCUCGGGGACACGGAGGUGACACGGAUGUGACACGGAUGUGACAGUGACACAGAGCUGGGACUGUCACACGUGUGUGACACGGAUGUGACGGUGACACGGAGCUGGGACAGUGACACGGAUGUCACACGGAUGUGACACGGAUGUGACAGUGGCACGGAGCUGGGACAGUGACACGGAUGUCACACGGAUGUGACACAGAUGUGACAGUGACAUGGAGCUGGGAGAGUGACACGGGUGUGACACGGAUGUCACACGGAGCUGGGACAGUGACACGGAUGUCACACAGUUACACGGAGCUGGGACAGUGACACGGGUGUCACAUGGAUGUCACACGGAUGUGACGGUGACACGGAGCUGGGACAGUGACAGAUGUGACACAUGUGACAGUGACAUGGAGCUGGGAGAGUGACACGGGUGUGACACGGAUGUCACACGGAGCUGGGACAGUGACACGGAUGUCACGGUGACA